rnacentral:rRNA from 1 species
UACGGGGGGGGCAAGCGUUGUUCGGAAUUAUUGGGCGUAAAGAGCUCGUAGGCGGUCUGUUACGUCUGCUGUGAAAACCCUGGGCUUAACCCUGGGCUUGCAGUGGAUACGGGCAGACUAGAGGCAGGUAGGGGAGAAUGGAAUUCCCGGUGUAGCGGUGAAAUUCGUAGAUAUCAGGAGGAACACCGGUGGCGAAGGCGGGUCUCUGGACAGUUCCUGACGCUGAGGCACGAAGGUCAGGGGAGCAAACGGG